UGAGGAAUAUUGGUCAAUGGGCGAGAGCCUGAACCAGCCAAGUAGCGUGCAGGACGACGGCCCUAUGGGUUGUAAACUGCUUUUAUGUGGGGAUAAAGUGCGUGACGUGUCAUGCAUUGCAGGUACCACAUGAAUAAGGAUCGGCUAAUUCCGUGCCAGCAGCCGCGGUAAUACGGAAGGUCCGGGCGUUAUCCGGAUUUAUUGGGUUUAAAGGGAGCGUAGGCUGUCUAUUAAGCGUGUUGUGAAAUAUACCGGCUCAACCGGUGGCUUGCAGCGCGAACUGGUCGACUUGAGUAUGCAGGGAGUAGGCGGAAUUCAUGGUGUAGCGGUGAAAUGCUUAGAUAUCAUGACGAACUCCGAUUGCGCAGGCAGCUUACUGUAGCAUAACUGACUCUGAUGCUCGAAAGUGCGGGUAUCAAACAGG
rnacentral:rRNA from 1 species